GCUUCCGUGGCUCAGGGGUAGAGCGUCUGCCUCGUAGUUGACAGCAGAAGGUCGGCGGUUCGAAUCCGUCCGGAAGCA